GUCCUCGUAGUUCAGCGGAUAGAGCGUUAGGUUGCGGACCUAAAGAUCGCAGGUUCAAAUCCUGCCGAGGACG
rnacentral:tRNA from 1 species